rnacentral:rRNA from 1 species
CGUAGAGAGUUGUAGUCUCGGCUCGAGGACACGCUGGCGCGUGCCUAAUACAUGUCAAGUCGAACGGAGAAUAUUCGCUGAUGAAGUAACUUCGGUAAUGAAUCUUGGAUAUCUUAGUGGCGGACGGGUGAGUAACGCGUGAGCAACCUGCCUUCAGAGGGGGAUAACGUUUGGAAACGAACGCUAAUACCGCAUGACAUUAUCUUAUCGCAUGGUAGGAUAAUCAAAGGAGCAAUCCGCUGAAAGAUGGGCUCGCGUCCGAUUAGGUAGUUGUGGGGUAACGGCCCACCAAGCCGACGAUCGGUAGCCGGACUGAGAGGUUGGACGGCACAUUGGGACUGAGACACGGCCCAGACUCCUACGGGAGGCAGCAGUAAGGGAUAUUGGUCAAUGGGGGAAACCCUGAACCAGCAACGCCGCGUGAGGGAAGACGGUUUUCGGAUUGUAAACCUCUGUCCUCUGUGAAGAUGAUGACGGUAGCAGAGGAGGAAGCUCCGGCUAACUACGUG